UGCCGGGCCGCGGGGGGCUGCGCCCGGGACACCGGCCCCCGGCACCCACAGGCCGCGCGUUGGGUCUGUCCCCUCCAGCGCCCCCACGACCGCCCGCAGGGCGCCUCAGAGACACCCCCGGGGAGCGGGACCGCCGCCCGGGUGCUGGAGGGCUGUGGAAGGCCGCUCCAGGGCCGCGGGAUAGGCGGAGGCCUCCCGGGGCCGUGAGGCAGGCGAAGGCCCUGGGGGGAGCAGGCCCCGCCAUCGGGCACAGGCAGGGCCCCCCGCCGCCGUCUCCCCACAGCACCGGCAGAGGUGACGGGACAGUUUUAUUUAUUUCACUGCUUUACAGGACGUGGUUCGCCUUUGGCCCUGCUGGGGACACGGACACGGCGCUGACAGGGGACUGGCGCGGGCAGGGUGGAGGAUACUUUGCAAAUCUACAGUAGUAAAGCAAGCACAAAUACUACCUGCACAGAGCAAAGACAAGAAGGGGAGUCUCCCCUUCUCCUGAAGCACACGUAUUUAACACUGGUACAGCUCCAUCCCCCGCACGGGCAUUUGAGAGCGGUUUCUGCUUAAGCAUCUGAGGUGAAUGCGGUUUGCCAGGUGCUCGCGGGUGAUGACGUCCGGAUACUGGUUCUGAUGGAAAAGCGUCUCCAGGGCCUGCAGCUGGUCCUCGGUGAAUAUGGUGCGAUGCCGGCGCGUCCGGCGCUG